rnacentral:lncRNA from 1 species
UACACUUAGCGGUUGAACCAAAACCCAAUUCGUGCCAUGCAUAUAUGUGAAACCAUAUUAUGUACCUAACAUGUCAUACAUGCAUGCAUAAAAAGAAUGGAGAUGCACAUAUCUCAAAGCAUCCUCAUAGUUGUGGUUCAUGUUGCUUCCUUACAUGUGCCUAAACCGGGUAAAUCAAACUUUGAGCCACAUAGUUUGUCUUGUUUCUAGAGAAUUUACCCGAUAGUGUAAGCGAAAAUUUCAACGCAUAUCUCCAAGAGACCAAUUGAGCCGUGGAUUAUUGCAGGGGGGAGUACUCCAUGGGGAGAAUAAUUAAGGUUAAAACAUAUGAUUUUUUGAGUGUCUAUAGGAACACUUGAGUUUUUAGAUGACCUUUUGAACAAAGUAG